rnacentral:lncRNA from 1 species
GUUCCUGCAACUUAUUCUUUUUAUUUUUCAAUGCCCCUUGGCAAUCAUUAUCUACCUGACCGUUUGAUCUCUUUUUUUGUUUUUGGUUCAGGCAUUUCUUGCAUUGCUUUUCCGUCUUCUUCUUUUUUUCUUUUUUUUUAGCAGGAUCGACCUCGAUUCCUCUUAUCCGCUCUCAGCAGUCUACCGGACAGCACUCCACAAGUGCACUGAUUCGGACCCAACCUCAGUCUGAGUUGUCUCAACCGGUCAAACAACU